rnacentral:rRNA from 1 species
UACAGAGGUCCCGAGCGUUGUUCGGAUUCACUGGGCGUAAAGGGUGCGUAGGUGGUGAGGAAAGUCGGAUGUGAAAUCUCCCAAGCUCAACUUGGAAAUGGACAUUGGAAACUACCUUGCUGGAGGUUUGGAGGGGGGACUGGAAUACUUGGUGUAGCAGUGAAAUGCGUAGAUAUCAAGUGGAACACCAGUGGCGAAGGCGAGUCCCUGGACAACACCUGACACUGAGGCACGAAGGUCAGGGGAGCAAACGGG